GAUGAACGCUGGCGGCGUGCUUAACACAUGCAAGUCGAACGGAAAGGCCCAAGCUUGCUUGGGUACUCGAGUGGCGAACGGGUGAGUAACACGUGGGUGAUCUGCCCUGCACUUCGGGAUAAGCCUUGGAAACUGGGUCUAAUACCGGAUAGGACCACAUUUUGGAUGGUGUGGUGGAAAGUUUUUCGGUGUGGGAUGAGCUCGCGGCCUAUCAGCUUGUUGGUGGGGUAAUGGCCUACCAAGGCGUCGACGGGUAGCCGGCCUGAGAGGGUGUACGGCCACAUUGGGACUGAGAUACGGCACAGACUGCUACGGGAGGCAGAAGUGGGGAAUAUUGAACAAGGGGCGCCAGCCGGAUGCAGAGACGCCGCGUGGGGGAUGACGGCCUUAGGGUUGUAAAAUCCAUUCGCUAGGGACGAAGCGUUAUGUGACGGUACCUGGAGAAGAAGCACCGGCUAACUACGUG
rnacentral:rRNA from 1 species